AACGAACGCUGGCGGCAUGCCUAACACAUGCAAGUCGAACGGGAUCCGGACUUCGGUCCGGUGAGAGUGGCGGACGGGUGAGUAACACGUGGGAACCUGCCCAUUGGUCUGGGAUAACCGCGGGAAACUGCGGCUAAUACCGGAUGUACCCGAGAGGGGAAAGAUUUAUCGCCGAUGGAGGGGCCCGCGUCCGAUUAGGUAGUUGGUGGGGUAAUGGGCCUACCAAGCCAACGAUCGGUAGCUGGUCUGAGAGGAUGAUCAGCCACACUGGGACUGAGAUACGGCCCAGACUCCUACGGGAGGCAGCAGUGGGGAAUAUUGGACAGUGGGGGCAACCCUGAUCCAGCAAUGCCGCGUGAGUGAUGAAGGCCUUAGGGUUGUAAAGCUCUUUUGCCAGGGAAGAUGAUGACGGUACCUGGAGAAUAAGCCCCGGCUAACUUCGUGCCAGCAGCCGCGGUAAUACGAAGGGGCUAGCGUUGUUCGGAAUUACUGGGCGUAAAGGGCGCGUAGGCGGCCGUUUAAGUUAGGUGUGAAAGUCCUGGGCUCAACCUGGGGGACUGCAACUUGAAUACUGGAUGGCUUGAAUUCGGGAGAGGAU
rnacentral:rRNA from 1 species